GUCACUAUAUCAUCAAAAUGCACCGAACUUUAAACAUGCACAGUGAUUUCUUUUUGAGGGAAAAAAUCAUUUGGAUGUUUUGAUUGAUAGUUGAAUGGGUCUUAUCGGUGGAAAUUAAAUGUGUUUUUCUUUUACAAUUAAAACAUAAGAAAACUUGGAUUCUGAUUGUGUGUGCUUAUGGUUAUGAUAUCUGAGAUCUAAAAGGAGGUAAGCCACUGACUAACGCACAUUGUGCCAGUUUCCAUAUCCACUGUGCGUGUGACAGCGGCUAACCUGGUUUUGGGAACACUUCUCAUGUGUGGCUCGUCCAAGGCCAGCCACAGCCGGACCAGACAAACGCCUCCAUCUAUAAGCAGUCCCCCUUGACCAUGUCCCAUGCACUUUGCUGGGACAGGCCAGCUCAACAUGACUGCCCGCCCAGCAGCAGUCUCCAUGUGUAGUGUAGCCUACUUCCUCCUAUAUGUUCACAUCCUGUAUCCUUAUGAAGGGCCAGUGGCGUUGCAGUGACGCCUAUCUAUUGGUGAGUGUUUCUUUUUCAGCUCUGUGGUUUGACAUGAUAAUCAUCGGCCAUACUGGUUCCCAUUUUGAGGUCAGGGGUUUCUUGAAGUGGUUGCUUGGGGGCCCCACAGCCAAUAUGAGCGUUAUACUAUAAAAACACAUAACUUAGUUAUAUAGUAAUGUGUCCACCCCUUUACAGUAGAAUAAGCUGUUUUCUAGUUUGUAAGUGUGCCGCCUGUAAUGCAAUCCAAGUCAAUUGUAUCCAAACAUUCUGUACCAUGUGUCUUUGUAAUAUGUAUCCCUCAAGUGAAAGUAAAGUUUAUUCUCAAAUAAAUGUUGGCAUCAUUUUGUC